CUCGGCUCCACAGAGACCUCUCCCAGCUCCUGCCACCUCCCAUCAAAUAGAGAGGGGCACCAUGACAACCCCCACCUCAGACUGGUCGCCCGUGGGCUACCAGAGCAGCCAUCAGGGAGAGGACACCCCCACACCAGCAUCCUCCUCUCUCUCUUCCUCCCCUGUCCUUCCUAUCAUCUCUCUCCCCGUCCGCUCUCCUUCUAUACUGUCCCCUUCACAGGCACCAAAGGAGCAGAGGGCCAGGAGGACGAUUGUAGCAGCCACCACACCGCGAGGUCCCUGUGUCACAACAGCCGAGUGCACAAUCCAGACAUCAGAGGAUGAGUCGGAUGAGGAGGGACCACAGCCAAUCACACUGGUCCCGGACACAGCUCCCCCCUCCCCUCGAAACCCACCACUGAUAGAGGUACACACUCAUCAUCCCCCCAUCCUUCCCACGCCGCCACAGACGGGGUCAACGACACAGACCAACCUCUCCUUCACCAGACCUACCAGAAUCUCCACACUGGUGACCAGGAGGCCGUUCCGGCAUCUCAACACCUUAAACAAAAUCAAAGACUGGAGGAUCCAUCAUAAGCAAAAAACUGUUAUCAUGGGGGACUCAAACCUUUACAGAAUACCCCCCUUCACACACCAGGACCUCCAGAUAGACAGCUACCCCGGGGCUACCUUCAGGCACGCAGAGUCCAUCCUGGCCAAGUCACAGGCCUCUCCCAUGGUCCAGAAGCUCGUCCUGGCCUUCGGGAUCAACAACAAAGCACAGUGUCCUGAAAAAACAUCCAUCAGACAACUACAGGGGGCCAUCAGGAUGGCCAAAAGAGCAUGCCCCAACGCCCAGGUACUGGUUCCUUUAAUUAACUUUUCCCCAGACCUGCCCAAAAGGGAGAGAGUCAACCUCAUCCGCCUGAACGAAUACAUCUCCCGAAACCUCCUCGCCAUCCCUACACUACCAGAUGACCUUUUUGACACUGAAAAGGACAAGGUCCACUGGUCCCAGAACACAGCGAGGCGUCUCCUUGACCACUGGGGGAACUCUGAACCCAGGGCCAGGCUGUUCUACAUGCUCCCCAAAAUCCACAAGCCCAGACCCUCAUGGAACAGAGCCGGGGAGAUCCCCCCAGGGCUGGGACUGCCUGGAGGCUGUGGUCCUCGAGGCCAACCCCAGGUGGUCCACACCCCAGAGAAGGAGAGCUGAGAGACUCUGGAUCACCAGACUCAGCACAACACAACCGAUGGGCCUGAAUGAGAGGUGAGGGCCCG
ensembl:lncRNA